ACGUCCCAGUUCGGACUGCAGUCUGCAACCCGACUGCACGAAGCCGGAAUCGCUAGUAAUCGCGGAUCAGAAUGCCGCGGUGAAUACGUUCCCGGGUCUUGUACACACCGCCCGUCACACCAUGGGAGCUGGAAAUGCCCGAAGUCGGUGACCCAACCGCAAGGAGGGAGCCGCCGAAGGCAGGUCCGGUAACUGGGGUGAAGUCGUAACAAGGUAGC
rnacentral:rRNA from 1 species